AACGCGAAGAACCUUACCUGGGCUCGAACGGCUUUGGAUCAACUGUGGAAACACGGUCUUCCCGCAAGGGACCGGAGUCGAGGUGCUGCAUGGCUGUCGUCAGCUCGUGCCGUGAGGUGUUGGGUUAAGUCCCGCAACGAGCGCAACCCUUACUCAUAGUUGCUACCUGCAAGGGAGAACUCUAUGAGGACUGCUCCGGAUAACGGAGAGGAAGGUGGGGAUGAGGUCAAGUCAGCAUGGCCUUUAUGUCCAGGGCUACACACGUGUUACAAUGCGCACCACAAAGCGUCGCAAACCCGCGAGGGGGAGCUAAUCGCAAAAAAGUGCGCUCAGUUCGGAUUGCAGUCUGCAACUCGACUGCAUGAAGCUGGAAUCGCUAGUAAUGGCGCAUCAGAACGGCGCCGUGAAUACGUUCCCGGGCCUUGUACACACCGACGCAC
rnacentral:rRNA from 1 species